AUUGGAUGUGGUUUUAAACAGUUAGUCUUCAUAAGAGUCAAAUGCUUUUAUGUUUAAGGAUAAGCUGUGAAUGUACCAAGUUUACUUGGAAAUUGUGUGAUUUCACGCUGCUGAAAAAAGUUUCGUAGGAAGAAAAUAUUGCCCGUACCGCAAACCGACACAGGUACUCAAGUGGAGAACACUAAGGUGAGCGAGUGAACUAUUGUUAAGGAACUCUGCAAAAUGAGUCCGUAACUUCGGAAGAAGGACUGCUGGUUUUAUACCAGCCGCAGCAAAUAGGCCCAAACAACUGUUUAUCAAAAACACAGGUUUCUGCAAAAUCGUAAGAUGAAGUAUAGGGGCUGACGCCUGCCCAGUGCUGGAAGGUUAAAAGGAGGACUUAGCUUCGGCGAAGGUCUUAAUUGAAGCCCCAGUGAACGGCGGCCGUAACUAUAACGGUCCUAAGGUAGCGAAAUUCCUUGUCGGGUAAGUUCCGACCCGCAUGAAAGGCGUAAUGAUUUGGGCGCUGUCUCAACAAUAGACUCGGUGAAAUUUAAAUUCCAGUGAAGAUGCUGGGUACCCGCGACAGGACGGAAAGACCCCGUGGAGCUUUACUGUAGCUUGAUAUUGAAUGUUUGUGCUGCAUGUGCAGGAUAGGUAGGAGACUUUGAAGUCGGAACGCUAGUUUCGAUUGAGUCACCCUUGAGAUACUACCUCUGUUGUAUGAACGUUCUAACUCUGAUCAGUUAUCCUGAUCGAAGACAGUGUCUGGCAGGCAGUUUGACUGGGGCGGUCGCCUCCUAAAAGAUAACGGAGGCGCUCAAAGGUUUGCUCAGAAUGGUUGGAAAUCAUUCGUAGCGUGUAAAGGCAUAAGCAAGCUUGACUGUGAGACUGACAAGUCGAGCAGGUACGAAAGUAGGACUUAGUGAUCCGGUGGUUCCGUAUGRA
rnacentral:rRNA from 1 species